GACGAACGCUGGCGGCGUGCUUAACACAUGCAAGUCGAGCGGUAAGGCCCUUUCGGGGGUACGACGAGCGGCGAACGGGUGAGUAACACGUGGGUGACCUGCCCUCAGCUCUGGGAUAAGCCUGGGAAACCGGGUCUAAUACUGGAUAUGACUCCAUGACGCAUGUUGUGGGGUGGAAAGCCUUGUGCGGCUGAGGAUGGGCCCGCGGCCUAUCAGCUUGUUGGUGGGGUGAGGCCUACCAAGGCGACGACGGGUAGCCGGCCUGAGAGGGCGACCGGCCACACUGGGACUGAGACACGGCCCAGACUCCUACGGGAGGCAGCAGUGGGGAAUAUUGGACAAUGGGCGCAAGCCUGAUCCAGCCAUGCCGCGUGAGUGAUGAA
rnacentral:rRNA from 1 species